AAGAAACUUCAUAUAGGUCCUUUGGAUUUAGCUCAGUGGUAAAGCACUGGCCUUGUGUCCUGAAAUGCAAGGUAUCCUAGGUUUAAUCCCCAGCGCCUCAACUAAACAUGGACAAGACGUAAAGUCACUUAGGCAAACAGCUCUUGGAUACCAGAGGCAAGAGUGUUGUUGCAAGUUUGAGGUCAGCCUAAGCUACACAGAGUUCCCUGCUGGAGAGGGUUACAGAGUUAGGCCCUGUCUCAAAAAGAAGGGCAGGGUAGAGUUGGGGGAUAAAGGAUCUGGCCGGAAGGAAGAAAGAAGAAAACCUUCACACACAGCAACAGGAUGUUUUGUGCUUAGUGCGUGUUCGUGCACCUGGGGAGGUCAGAGGACAGUUACGGGACUCAGUUCCUCUCCCAUGUGGGUCCAGGAACAGACUCGGGUGCGCAGACUUGGUGGCAACCUCCCCAAGCCCCAACAUGCACAACCAACAUCUGUUCACCCUUGUCCAAGCGAUGUUUAUGUGAAAACUCACCGAAAACUUAACGAAAUUCUAUAAAGUUGAAACUGAAAGAAGUUUCUCUGCCCUGCUUACCUCUGAGGAUACCUGUCAUAUUUAAGCAGAGGACAGGGUCCCUGAAAAGCUGUACCUCACUGCUCAUGUGGACCCUGAUCCCUUAUGGAUUAGAGGGACCUGGAUGUGACCUCUGGGGACAUGCACAGCUGUAGCCGCUCUGAUUGGCUGGCCAGGGGUUGCAACUUUUGCCCUCAUUUAUUGGUGGAUCUCAGAACCUGCCACAAGGCCUGGCACUUGGCAGGUACUUAAUGGAGGACUGUUGACAGCCAAACACUCCCUGAUCCCACAACCACUGUCCUUCAAACCCUUGUCAUCCCUCUCCUAGACUGUCUCAAGACUCUCCUGUGUCUUUUACCCAGUCCUGUCAACCCACUACAACCAGCAUCACUAAAUUCCAAAGAGAAGGGACUCCCUAGGGUAUGAGGUCUUCCAGGUGUGUCUAACCUUUGACCUUGCAACACUGAUGUCUACAGAGUUAGUGGUCACAAACUGCACAAUCAAGCCGUUUCUGAAAAAUUGCCCAAAGCCCCUAUAGUUCUGUGUGAAACUUUACUCUCAGAUUGCCUAGGAUUUGUGGGCCACUGGCCCUUAGUUCGACAAGCAGACUGGGUCCUAAUCCAUUUCGUUCUCUCUCCUCUUUCUCCAGCUGAAAGAUGGGUGUACUUGAUGCCCAAGUCACAUGUCGAUAGCACUUGUCCCUCAAGCUUUGAAUUUUGUCAUUGAUAGAAUAAUUUCCACUCAGAGGCCUCCCACUCAUGCUACAAGACUCGGCAGAAACCGCACCUCAUCUGUGCACGCUUGCAUAACUGUCUCAGUCAAAACCCCAACACACUGUCUGCUUUGUGCUUAGCCCUUACUUUUAAAUCCCCAUCUUAGUGAUUAACAUCUUGUUGCAGGUCCCGGUGUGUAGAAGGAGUGAACCAUAUUAUCGUCUGCCAUUCUGCCUUAACUUAUAACUUAAAGCCAUAUCCCAAGGACUGGUAGGAAGUUUCUCUGUGGCUUCUCUUCCCCAUUCUGCUCCUAUGGGAUUCUCACACAGACCUGGGGUCUGAGAAUGAAAGAACCCAGACCGCUUCAGGGGCUGGUGAAAUAGUGCUACUCUUAUCAGUAGACCCCAGUUCUGUUCCCAGCACCUAUGUGGGACAGCACACAGGAGCCUAUAACUUCAGCUCCACAUGCCCUCUUUUGGCCCCCAUGAGUAAGCAUGGACACAUCACACACCUCUCCCUACAUGCAAGCAUACACAUUAUUUUUUGGAUAAUUUUUAAAAGUCUUCCUUCUCAGAUGACCCAGGCAAUGUCUUGUAGGUGGCCACUUCAGCUGCUGCACAUGCCAGCAGCUCUGGCUCCUCACUGCCAACGCUGGCUACCUGCUUUUCAGCUGGGGCUUUGCAACUAUAGACGUCUGCUCACCUGUGACUCAAAGCCAUGUUGCUUCUGCCUUUUCCUUCCCUGGAAUGACCUCUGACUUUAGAGAGUCUCAGCUCGUGUAAGUGAGUAAUGUUGACCUAGAAAAUGUCAAGAACAGCAGCCCAGCGUCUCAAGCGAUGGCAGCUCAGGUGCUGUUUCAGCUGGUGCCGGGAGACCGUGUACUUUUCCCUGGGCCAAACUGAAAUUUAGAUCAUGUGUGCGCCUACUUCUGCGGUUGUCACCAACCGUUUCAACCAACUUGAGAACCUGCCUCACAGACGAAAUGUGACUGUAAACCUGUAGUUCUGCCAGGAGAAGGAAGGAGGAGAUCUCUGUAUUCAAGGAGAAAAAUAUGGUGCCUGCCUGGAGAUUUUGAGUAUUUAACCCCAGGCGUUCCUGAAGGAAGCCGUUCUUAAAAGUGCAGUGAACUCCUGUCGCGUUGAGACUCCGAGAGACGCAUGAUUAAUUGUGUAUAUGUCCAUUCUGUCAGUGUGCUGGCUGGGACUUCUUAUACCUCUGUUUGUCUCCUCCACCCUGUCUGCCGCCUGUCAAGAGUCUGACUGCUUGACCUCAGCUCCAGCUCCAGGUCUUUAAUAACCUGCCCGCCCGGGUCUUUCUCCUCACUCUUCUCAGGACCUCUGCUUAGCUCUGCCUCUCACUGUUAGAAGCCCACUCAUGCUGUAGAGAGAGUCUGGGCAUUGGGCACAGUCUCCCAUCCCUCAUCGUCAUCCCUCAUCCAAUAUGAGUCCUCCUCACUACUCUCCCUCCAGCAGCACAGGGAAAGGUCACCCACUGUGUCCAGCCAACCUGUCCGCUUUGCACUGACAUCCAAAACCUGUCUUCUGGGGAAGGACAGAGACCAAGGUCUCUCUCUUUGUAUAUUUCUAGAUUAUUUGGGGGGGGGGUACAUUUUUUCCUUUAAAUGUGUAUUUUAAUGAUAUGUUUAUAUCCAUGCAAAUUACCAUGCACCAAGCCUUGGUGUUCAAGCUUGGCCUGCCACCCUUGGGUGGGACUUUCAGGUGUCAGGAGGGACCUCCUAGGUUCACUCCUGGAGUCCACUCCACAGCUGAGGCAGGGGACACAUGCAAUAAACAUUUUGAGUAAACACAUUUUUUUAAAACCUAAAGGUUAUGCCUAGUCUUUAACUCGCCCCUGGACGAGUGCUGGUGAAGAGUGAUCUGCAGAGUCCUUUCCUCCAACUGGAGUGUGGGCUAAAUCUGGAGGUGAUAAGCUAAAGGGAGUGCAGCUGGCUGGAGGCCAGGGAGUUUCUCCUGGUCAGGUGGGAGCCUCCAGCUGUGAGCUGGCAGCCCAGGGAGCUCAGAGUGUCCUCUCUGAUUACCUAGGCUGGGGCUGGCCCUCUGGGACAGGCUGAGGGGAGCAAGGAGAAACCUCCAUGACUAAGGUAUCCAGCUGUGCUCUGACCCUUCUGACUCACAAGACACUGUUCCUUAGAAAACUGCCUUUUAGGGAAGGGCACAAACCAAGGUUUCUUAUUCUUUGUAUAUUUCUAGACUUGUUUUUCUGUUCUUUCUUCCUCUGUAGCUUUCUGAAAAUGCAUUUUGAUAAUAUUUGACAAUGUUAAAACACACACAAUUUUAUCCUAUAGAUUAUGUAUGUUUAACUCCAUCCCCAGGCUUUGAAUCAGCCUCUCCUGUCAUCUUCAUAUCUAACAUUAUUACCCUAUUGGCUUUUAUUCUCUACUUACUUGGAAUUUUAUGUUCUAAACUAUUUCACAAGUGACUUCAUUUUUUAAAUUUAAUUUUUUAAAUUAAUUACUUUUUGUUUACAUCCCACAUGUAAACAGUGCCCUCCCUCCCGGACCCCUUCCUCGAGUUCUUCACUCCAUGCUCCUUCCCCUUCGCCUCUGAGAGGGUGUCCCACCCGCCUGCAGCAUCAAGUCUCUACAGGAUUAGGCAUCCUCUCCCACUGAGGCCAGACAGAGCAGUCCUCUGGGACAUAUGUGUCUGGGGCCUUGUACCAGGCCGUGCAUGUUCUUUGGUUGGCAGCUUAGUCUCUGGGAGCUCGGAGGGUCUGGCUUAGUUGACGCUGUUGUUCUUCCCGUGCGGUUGCCUCCCCUUCAGCUCCUUCUGCUCUUCCCCUAUCUCUUCCAUGGGGGUCCCUGACCUCAGUCCAAUGCUUGGCUUUAAGCAUCUGCAUCCCUCUCAGUCAGCUGCUGGUAGAGCCUCUCAGAGGACAGCCGUGUCAGGCUCCUGUCUGCAUGCACAAUAUGGCCUCAGGAAUAGUGUCGGGGUUUGAUGUCCACAUAUGAGGUGGAUCCCAAGUUGGGGCUGUCACUGGUCAGCCAUUACUUUAGUCUCUACUCCAUUUUUUGUUCCUCCUUUUCUUUUAGACAGGAACAAUUCUGGGUCAAAACUUUUGUAGGUGGGUUGGUGUCCCCAUCCCUCCAUGUCUAACUACUGUAGGUGGUCUCUUCAGGUUCCAUCUCCCCACUGUUAGGCACUCCAGCUAAGGUGAUGACUUCAUUUCAGGUUCCAUCUCCAUCUCCCCACUGUUAGGCACUCCAGCUAAGGUGAUGACUUCAUUUCAGGUUCCGUCUCCCCACUGUUAGGCACUCCAGCUAAGGUGAUGACUUCAUUUCAGGUUCCGUCUCCCCACUGUUAGGCACUCCAGCUAAGGUGAUGACUUCAUUUCAGGUUCCAUCUCCAUCUCCCCACUGUUAGGCACUCCAGCUAAGGUGAUGACUUCAUUUCAGGCUCCAUCUCCAUCUCCCCACUGUUAGGCACUCCAGCUAAGGUGAUGACUUCAUUUCAGGCUCCAUCUCCCCACUGUUAGGCACUCCAGCUAAGGUGAUGACUUCAUUUCAGGUUCCAUCUCCAUCUCCCCACUGUUAGGCACUCCAGCUAAGGUGAUGACUUCAUUUCAGGUUCCAUCUCCCCACUGUUAGGCACUCCAGCUAAGGUGAUGACUUCAUUUCAGGCUCCAUCUCCCCACUGUUAGGCACUCCAGCUAAGGUGAUGACUUCAUUUCAGGUUCCAUCUCCCCACUGUUAGGCACUCCAGCUAAGGUGAUGACUUCAUUUCAGGUUCCAUCUCCCCACUGUUAGGCACUCCAGCUAAGGUGAUGACUUCAUUUCAGGUUCCAUCUCCCCACUGUUAGGCACUCCAGCUAAGGUGAUGACUUCAUUUCAGGUUCCAUCUCCAUCUCCCCACUGUUAGGCACUCCAGCUAAGGUGAUGACUUCAUUUCAGGUUCCAUCUCCAUCUCCCCACUGUUAGGCACUCCAGCUAAGGUGAUGACUUCAUUUCAGGUUACUUUAAUGUUAACAUUAAAUGUUAAUAAUAACCGUGUCUUCUUGCUCUGAUCUUUAUUCAGCUCUUUAUCUUAUAGUAUGUCCAUUUAUAAGCUUUUCCUAUAGUUCCUGGUUUUAAAUUUUACUUUACUAUUCCUUAAAGAUUUUAAAAUUCUUAUUUCUUUUAAAAACAUGUAUUUUAUUUUUUUAAUUGUGUGUGUGUGUGUGCCUGUGUGUGUGUCUGCUGUACAUGUGAUUGGCAGGUGCUGGCCAGAAGGGGGCGUCAGAUCCCGUGGAGCUGGAGUUACAGGCGGUUGGGACCUUGCCAGUGUGGGUGCUGAGAACCAAACUUGGGUCCCCUGCAGGAGCAGUAUUUUCUCUUUACCUCUGAGCCGUCUCGCCAGCCUAAACUACUUAUUUCUUCACUUACAACUUCUGUUUGGUUUUAAGUUACCCGCCUCCUCUGGCGACACAGUUAAAAAUCUUUCAUCCUGAUUUCCCUCCCUCUGACAACCACCACCUUCUUUCUCCAUGCUUUCUCUCAUCUGUGUGCCUGUCAAUCAGUCUGGAUUGAAUAAUGCCAAAUAACGACUCGUAAGGUGCACACUGAAGCUAGGCGGCUCCUCUGCCCUCCCUACCUUUCCUGAGACUCACCUGUAACUGUAGCUUUUGUGUAGAGGUGCAUUUGGACUGAGCCUUGCACGCUGUGUUUAUUUGCUUGCUGCAUGGAUUAAAAUAAUGCUCUCUAGAUAUUUUAAUUAGUUUCUUUUGGAAUAACUCAUUCCAGUGACUUCAAGCAUUUGGGCAUUUUGUUGUAAUGAAUGUAAUGAAUAUAAAGAAACCAGAGGCUCAGACACAGUGUUGGCCAGGCGCUUGUACUAGGCCUAUAGCAAACCUUCAGGAGUAACUGGUAUUGUCUUAUAAGGAGUUGAGGCUCACAGGCACUAGAACCUCUAACCAAACCACACCCAUGCAAAAUGAAGGAUCUCCAAGACAUUCCUGAUGGUUGAGAGGUGAAAUCUAACAGACAUCCGAUUCUACUUUCGUUUCUGUUGCUUCCUGACGAAAGCAACCCAGGGGAGAAAAAGUUCUGUUAGCUCACCCUUCUUUCAAAGAAGUCACGGUGGCACUUGAAACAGCUAGUUCCAGCUCAUCCUCCGUCAAGAGGAGCAGGAACCAAUGCGCAUGCCUAGUGCUCAGCUACCGUGCUCUUUCUCUGCAGUCCAGGGCACAGAGUCAAGCAUGGCUGCCACAUCUUCCCUUAGCAGGUAAGGCAAUCAAUGAAGGAGAAAGAACCAGAGGGACGGAGGUAAACCAGGAAAGCAAAAGUAGAUUCCCCAAAAUGGCAGCUUCUGUUCAGAAAACAUUUCAAAGAGAAAUGGUUGAAAGGCAUGGAGACAGGCAUCUAGGGAGGAGGAGAGAGGGGCCCUAUGAAACACCAACACCAGCUUCUAUUUAGCAGACUUAUUUUCCCUUUGCCUGUGGCUGCUGCUUGCUCUUCUGUCUUUCCCAGUUGUUCAAUUCUUUGUUCAUACUAGGGAACAAACUCACAUGCAGCAGGCAGUCUCCACCACACCCCACACCCCUACAAUCAAGACGGUACCUUACAGACACGCCCUCAAGCCAACCUGACCCAGACAGUCUCUCACUGAGACUCUAGGUUCUAGGUCAUGAUGCCCUAGAGGUAACAACCAUCGCCCUUCCUCAUGAACUUGUAACUUAACAAGAUCUAAAUUUUGAAGCUAAGAAGAGAACGUUGUGGGUGUCUAGGAAUAAGGAGGAAGUUACCCCAGAAGAGAGGCAUCUGUGCCCUUCAGGCUGCUCCGAUUCUGCCUCAGCUGUAUCUGUUGGGGGAGACAGGUGAGGUGAGAGCCGGGAGUGUGGUCUGAGAACCAGCUGCUCUGGUGUCUUAUGAGCAGCAAAGAAGUGCAGCAUUUCAUUAAUUGUGAAACCUGUUGAGUCACCGCCUGCACCUGGACGGAUGAUUUCGGUGCCUAGAAAAGCUUAAGCAGCACCAGUCUACAGCAUUCUCAGGGACAGAAAACUCAGAUGCAGUUCAGAAAAAUUCCCAACAGUUAGAAAUUUGGUUCAGUGAGCAUUCUCAAACCGGGAAGUCCCUGAAGCAAGCCAGCCCAGAGGCACAGCCUGGUAGUCCCAGCUACUCUAGAGGCUGGGGCAGUGGCAGUCAUGGGAAGACUUUGCCUGGACUAUCCAAGAGUUUAAGGCCAGCCUGGGUACCAAGAGGUCUGGAAAUGUGGGCCAGUGGUCCAGAGCCUGUGUGGUUUGUAGGAUGUGCUAGGCCCACUGUAAAUUUGCAGUACGAUACACAGAAAAAAGGAGGGGAGGGACAGAGGGAGGGAGGAAGAAAGGGACAGGGAAAAAAGAGGAAGGAAGAAAGAGAGGAAGGGAGGAUGGAGGGAGGGAAAAGAAGAGAAUACUAGAGUCCUUUAUAAUUCCAGCUGCUUCUUGGGGCUUUGUUGUGACUUUUUACUGCACCCCCAGCUCUUAGCUCCAGUGCUCCCCAGCCCCCAGCCUCAGUACCCAGUACUUCCUGAUACCCAUCUCCUAGUGCUCCCCAGCCUCAUUUCUCAGUGCUCCCCAGCUUCCAUCUCCCAAUGCUCCCCAGGCUCAUCUCAUAGUGCUCCCCAGUAUCCAGUGCCCAGUGUUCUCCAUUCCCCACCAGCCAUCUCCCAGCCCCCAGUGCCUAAUGCUCCCCAGCACUCAGCAGCCAUCUCCCAGGGCCCAGGGCCCAAUGCUCAGUCCCAGCACCUAGUCCCCAACCCAGUUCUCAGUUCCCAGCUCAGCCCACAGGCCCUGAGCCAA
rnacentral:lncRNA from 1 species